UUUACAUGAUUUGUCUCCUUUCCUAGUAUAGAAUCUAAUCUACAAUCUGAAGAAGAUGGUAUGGCCUAGUAUCCCUUUUUGGUUUUGGCAUACCUGAAGCGUAAUGUCAUGUGGUGUAAUGCUUUACUCUAAUUACCCUUACUCUACUCUUUUGUUUUACAACUUAGAUGACUCUCUAGUUAGAUAAUCUAAUCUUGUAAGUGGUAAAAGUGUGUGUCAAACUUUGAAAGUGGAUGUUCUUCCACUGUUGUAUCGUUUACAACUGCUGUUUUUAAUUAAAAGGGUAAUACUUAUGAGAAAAAAAAAGAAUCUAAUCUACAUAAUCGUGUGUUGCUAGCUCGUCCAUUUACUAAUUGUCUGAUGGGAAUAUAGAUGAAACCGAGGUUAUGGCAUGGGAUUUCACGGGAGACGUAUUCUUCUUUCUUCACAUUAUUUGUCGGAUUGAGCAUGUGUUAUGACAUGAGUAAACGAAUCAGAGCAUCUUCAAGACAAUUAGGGUGUGUCACUUUGAAGAUUUUCCAGACGUUCAAAUAUGAUUUAGACCAUACGACUAAUUUUAUUAAUUUUGGUCAAAACAAAUAGAAAGAUUUAGUGAACCGUGUCUCAUGAAAGAUUUGCGGUUUUAAUAAACGAUCUUUAUAGCGAGCCCAACGCUCUAUGGUGUGGAAGCUCAUAACUUAUGCUUGAGUUUUUCUCAAGUUCUUAAGAAGACCAAUAUUGAUUUAUAUAUCAAAAUGAAUUCUAUAAUAAAUGUUUUAUUCUCUAAAAAGUAUUUUCAUUUUGUUUUUGGUCCAUUCAUUUUUGAAAAAUAAUCGUUUCAAGCAUAUAUACCUUUCUAAUCCCAAC
rnacentral:sRNA from 1 species